rnacentral:rRNA from 1 species
AGAGUUUGAUCCUGGCUCAGAUUGAACGCUGGCGGCAUGCCUUACACAUGCAAGUCGAACGCGAAAGUGGGGGCAACCCUGCAAGUAGAGUGGCGAACGGGUGAGUAAUACAUCGGAACGUACCCAGGAGUGGGGGACAACCUCGAGAAAUCGAGGCUAAUACCGCAUACGUCCUGAGGGAGAAAGCGGGGGAUCCGCAAGGACCUCGCGCUCAUGGAGCGGCCGAUGUCGGAUUAGCUAGUUGGCGGGGUAAGAGCCCACCAAGGCGACGAUCCGUAGCUGGUUUGAGAGAACGACCAGCCACACUGGGACUGAGACACGGCCCAGACUCCUACGGGAGGCAGCAGUGGGGAAUUUUGGACAAUGGGCGCAAGCCUGAUCCAGCCAUGCCGCGUGAGUGAAGAAGGCCUUCGGGUUGUAAAGCUCUUUCGGCCGGAACGAAAUCGCGUACGUGAAUAACGUGCGUGGAUGACGGUACUGGAAGAAGAAGCACCGGCUAACUACGUGCCAGCAGCCGCGGUAAUACGUAGGGUGCGAGCGUUAAUCGGAAUUACUGGGCGUAAAGCGUGCGCAGGCGGUUCUGCAAGUCAGAUGUGAAAUCCCCGGGCUUAACCUGGGAACUGCGUUUGAAACUACGGAGCUAGAGUACGGCAGAGGGGGGUGGAAUUCCCGUGUAGCAGUGAAAUGCGUAGAUAUGUGGAGGAACACCGAUGGCGAAGGCAGCCCCCUGGGCCGAUACUGACGCUCAGGCACGAAAGCGUGGGGAGCAAACAGGAUUAGAUACCCUAGUAGUCC